GACGAACGCUUGGCUGCAGGCUUAACUCAUGCGCUUCCCACCAGAACCUUCGGGCUUUGCCAGAACAAGUACUGUGGCUGGACGGGUGCGUAUCGCGUAGAUAACCUGCCCUCACGCGCGGGACAAUCACGGGUAAACCGUGGCUAUAUACCAUACGUCAUCUGGACCCCUUCAUGGGGACCAGAUGAAAACUUGGGGUUACCCAUCCACCUUGGGAUGGGUCUGCGUUGGAUUACCUUGUUGGUGAGGCAACUGCUCACCUAUGCAACCAUCCAUAGCUGGUCUGAGAGGACAAUCAUCCAGACUGGGACUGAUUACACGGCCCACACUCCUACCGGAGGCAUCAGUGGGGAAUCUUGCACAAUGGGGUCACCCCUGAUGCAUCCUUGCCGCGUGGAGGAAUACACCCCUAUGGGGCGUAUACUCCUUUUCUGAAUGAAGAAACCCCUGUACGUUCAUGGCGCGACUGUAGUUCAGGAAUAAACACCAGCUAACUCCUUGCCAGCAGCCCCUGUAAUACCGAGGGUGCAAGCGGUGUCCCGAAUCACUGGGUGUAAAGGGUGUGCAUGCGGGGCAACAACUCGGAUGUGAAACCUCAUGGCUCAUCCAUGGAUGUGCUUUCAAAACUGUUGCUCUUGACUCCCGGAGAGGCUGUCGGAAUUCCUGGUGUAGCGGUGAAAUGCGUAGAUAUCACCAUGAACACCAGAGGCGAAAGCGGGCAGCUGGACUGGUACUGACGCUCACGCACGAAAGCGUGCGGAGCAAACAGGAUUACAUACCCUGGUAGUCCACGCCUUAAACGAUGAACGCUAGCUCGUUGCCCCGUCUCAAGGGGCAGUGGCUAAUGUUAACGCGUUAUGCGUUCCACAUGGGGAGUACGAUCGCAAGGUCGAAACUCAAAGGAAUUGACGGGGGCCCGCACAAGCGGUGGAGCAUGUGGCUCAAUUCGAUGCAACGCGAAGAACCUUACAUAGGCUCGAACGCUAAAGGACCGCUCCUGAAAGGGAGCUUCCCCUUUGGGGCCUUUAGCGAGGUACUGCAUGGCCGUGGUCAGAUCGUGUUGUGAGAUGUUGGGUUAAGUCCCGCAACGAGCGUAACCCUUGUUGCUAGUUACCAGCGGGUAAUGCCGGGGACUACUAGCGAGACCGCCUGUUGCAAGCAGUGAGGAAGGUGGGGAUGACGUCAAGUCAUCUUGGUCCUUACGCGUAGGGUUGCACACUGUGCUCCAAUGGCCGAUACAACGAGCAGCCACCUCGCGAGAGGGAGCGAAUCUAUGAAAGCGGGUCCCAGUUCAGGAGGUGGAGUAUGCAACUUGAUUCCAUGAAGCAGGAAUUGCUAGUAAUCGCGGAUCAGCAAUGCCGCGAUGAAUCGGUUUCCGGGCCUUGUACACACCGCCUGUCAAGCCAUGGAAGCUGUGAGCACCCGAAGUCCGUGAGUCAAAUGUAGCAUUAGUUUGAGAGAGAGCGGCUGAAGGUGAGCUCAGUGAAUGGGGCU
rnacentral:rRNA from 1 species